rnacentral:lncRNA from 13 species
GAGGUUGUCGGGUGAAGGACCUUUCAACGAGCCUUCGGCACACACCCAGGGCUGAAGACAUUGAUCCUUGCACACUCACCCUGCUUGCCCACGGCUCUCCAGGACAGCUAGGUCCCCUCUGGCUAAGAGAGAAUGAGGGUGUCAGGCCUCAGGACAGUCUUCCUGAGGGGGCCAGGGCAUUUCACAAAGGACAAAAAUAGACAGGAGAGAGGAGAAAGACAAAGAGAUGGCUCCUGGAAUCCUUUCGGGAAUGAAGGUGUGUGGCCAGCAAGGGCCUCGGAGAGCAAGCAUCUACUAAAAGGACAAGCUAUUCCUCUCUGGGGAGAUACUGAAUGAAGAUGAAGAGCCUGGAAACGUACAGCUUCUCCCUUGCUAUUCCUUUCUGCCCGUAGACUGCCCCUGGCUCCUGGGAGAGGAUUUCAGAUUAAAUCUCAUGUCUUCAGUGCGGAUUCCCAAAACUGAAGUCUGGUCUUUUUUUCUCUAUUUUGUAGCACGUUGGAUUUCUCUUUCAGGGCACUUACCUUAGUGUUCAGUUAGACGUCUCCAUUUAUUCAUGCGUCAGGCACUUGCCCCUUUACUGUAAUCCUGGUUCCUUAAAGGCUGAGGUUUUUGUCUUUUUUGCUGCUGUAGCCCCGGCACCCAGAACCGCGCCUGGCACACAGUAAAUGCACAGUAAAAAUGUUGAGUCAAUGAACAAUCUUGACUUGGCUAAUUGAUAGGGUUUGGCUCUAUGUCCCCACCCAAAUUUCAUCUCCAAUUGUAAUCCCCACGUGUCAGGGGAGGGGGCUAGUGGGAGGUGAUUGUAUCAUGGGGGUAGACCUUCCCCUCCCCGUGCCGUUCUCAUGAGAGUGCUGGCUGCUUCUCUCAGUCUCUCCGGCCACCUUGUGAAGUAGGUGCUUGCUUCCCCUUUG